rnacentral:rRNA from 1 species
CCUACGGGAGGCAGCAGUGAGGAAUAUUGGUCAAUGGACGAGAGUCUGAACCAGCCAAGUAGCGUGAAGGAUGACUGCCCUAUGGGUUGUAAACUUCUUUUAUAAAGGAAUAAAACGAGGCACGUGUGCCUCUUUGCAUGUACUUUAUGAAUAAGGAUCGGCUAACUCCGUGCCAGCAGCCGCGGUAAUACGGAGGAUCCGAGCGUUAUCCGGAUUUAUUGGGUUUAAAGGGAGCGUAGAUGGGUUGUUAAGUCAGUUGUGAAAGUUUGGGGCUCAACCGUAAAAUUGCAAUUGAUACUGGCAGUCUUGAGUACAGGUGAGGUAGGCGGAAUGCGUGGUGUAGCGGUGAAAUGCUUAGAUAUCACGAAGAACCCCGAUUGCGAAGGCAGCUUACUAACCUGUAACUGACGUUGAUGCUCGAAAGUGUGGGUAUCAAACAGGAUUAGAUACCCGAGUAGUC